AAGAAUUGUCCGUUUUUUCGAGAACGGGUUCUAUUCAAACCGUGUAUACAUAUACCUUUGUUGCUUUGGCAGGCCGCCCCCCGGGGCGUUGGCUCCGGCUAACUGCGCCUGCCAGAGGACCCAAAUCCUUUUGUUUAGUGAUGUCUGAGUACUAUAUAAUAGUUA
rnacentral:misc_RNA from 1 species